rnacentral:rRNA from 1 species
UACGUAGGGUGCAAGCGUUAUUCGGAAUUACUGGGCGUAAAGCGUGCGCAGGCGGUUUUGUAAGUCUGUCGUGAAAUCCCCGGGCUUAACCUGGGAAUUGCAUUCGGGACUGCAAGGCUGGAGUGCGGCAGAGGAGACUGGAAUUCCUGGUGUAGCAGUGAAAUGCGUAGAUAUCAGGAGGAAUACCGAUGGCGAAGGCAGGUCUCUGGGCUGACACUGACGCUCAUGCACGAAAGCGUGGGGAGCAAACAGG